rnacentral:rRNA from 1 species
CUUGGUCAUUUAGAGGAAGUAAAAGUCGUAACAAGGUUUCCGUAGGUGAACCUGCGGAAGGAUCAUUAACAAAUCAGCCCCUUACGGGGACAUUUGCGCUCGUGAGCAAUCAUGGGAUGCACAUUAACACAUUACUGUCAAGUUUACGUGAGAUUAUAAAUUAGAAACAACUUUUAACAAUGGAUCUCUUGGCUCUUGCAACGAUGAAGAACGCAGUAAUGUGCGAAAAGUAAUGCGAUCUGCAUUAUCUGUGAAUCAUCAAAUCUUUGAACGCAAAUGGCACUGCCACGACAAGUGGCGGUAUGCCUGUUUGAGAACCGAAUAAAACAUCACCUCUAGUUAGAGGCGGACGUGCUUGUGACUGCGGUCUUGAGCUGAAAGUAUUGUUGCGGGCACUGUGUCCGGUGUAUGAUAGUCUUUACACCCAUGGCCGGUGCUAGUAAAUGCAGCACGGACAGUAUAUUUCAAAAACCGGUCUCAAAUCAGGCAAGGCUACCCGCUGAACUUAAGCAUAUCAAUAAGCGGAGGA